GACGAACGCUGGCGGCGUGCUUAACACAUGCAAGUCGAACGGUGAAGCGCUUGCCUUUUUGGUGGGUGUGGAUGAGUGGCGAACGGGUGAGUAACACGUGAGUAACCUGCCCUCUUCUUCUGGAUAACCUCAUGAAAGUGGGGCUAAUACGGGGUAUUCCGGGUCUGUCGCAUGGCGGGUUUGGGAAAGAUUGCGCCUUUGGGUGUUUUCGGUGGGGGAUGGGCUCGCGGCCUAUCAGCUUGUUGGUGGGGUGAUGGCCUACCAAGGCGGUGACGGGUAGCCGGCCUGAGAGGGUGGACGGCCACACUGGGACUGAGACACGGCCCAGACUCCUGCGGGAGGCAGCAGUGGGGAAUAUUGCAGAAUGGGCGCAAGCCUGAUGCAGCGACGCCGCGUGAGGGAUGGAGGCCUUCGGGUUGUGAACCUCUUUCGCCAGUGAAGCAGGCCUGCUCCUGUGUGGGUGGGUUGACGGUAGCUGGAUAAGAAGCGCCGGCUAACUACGUG
rnacentral:rRNA from 1 species